UGGCUCAUUAAAUCAGUUAUCGUUUAUUUGAUAGUACCUUACUACUUGGAUAACCGUGGUAAUUCUAGAGCUAAUACAUGCUAAAAACCCCAACUUCGGGAGGGGUGUAUUUAUUAGAUAAAAAACCAACGCCCUUCGGGGCUCCUUGGUGAAUCAUAAUAACUUAACGGAUCGCAUGGCCUUGCGCCGGCGACGGUUCAUUCAAAUUUCUGCCCUAUCAACUUUCGAUUGUAGGGUAUUGGCCUACAAUGGUAUCAACGGGUAACGGGGAAUUAGGGUUCGAUUCCGGAGAGGGAGCCUGAGAAACGGCUACCACAUCCAAGGAAGGCAGCAGGCGCGCAAAUUACCCAAUCCCGACACGGGGAGGUAGUGACAAUAAAUACUGAUACAGGGCUCUUUUGGGUCUUGUAAUUGGAAUGAGUACAAUUUAAAUCCCUUAACGAGGAACAAUUGGAGGGCAAGUCUGGUGCCAGCAGCCGCGGUAAUUCCAGCUCCAAUAGCGUAUAUUAAAGUUGUUGCAGUUAAAAAGCUCGUAGUUGAACCUUGGGCCUGGCUGGCCGGUCCGCCUCACCGCGUGCACUGGUCCGGCCGGGCCUUUCCUUCUGGAGAGCCGCAUGCCCUUCACUGGGUGUGUCGGGGAACCAGGACUUUUACUUUGAAAAAAUUAGAGUGUUCAAAGCAGGCCUUUGCUCGAAUACAUUAGCAUGGAAUAAUAGAAUAGGACGUGCGGUUCUAUUUUGUUGGUUUCUAGGACCGCCGUAAUGAUUAAUAGGGAUAGUCGGGGGCAUCAGUAUUCAAUUGUCAGAGGUGAAAUUCUUGGAUUUAUUGAAGACUAACUACUGCGAAAGCAUUUGCCAAGGAUGUUUUCAUUAAUCAGUGAACGAAAGUUAGGGGAUCGAAGACGAUCAGAUACCGUCGUAGUCUUAACCGUAAACUAUGCCGACUAGGGAUCGGGCGAUGUUAUUAUUUUGACUCGCUCGGCACCUUACGAGAAAUCAAA
rnacentral:rRNA from 1 species